GUGCUCACUUCAGCAGCACAUACACUAAAACGGGAACAAUAUUUAAAAGAUUAGUAUGGCCUCUGUGAAGGAUGACAUACAAAUUUAUGAAGGGUUCCAUAUUUUA
ensembl:snRNA U6 U6 spliceosomal RNA